rnacentral:lncRNA from 1 species
AAAUAGAUAUUAUUUCAUAAUCCGUUUAUACUCAGCCUUAAAACAAUUACUUGCUGACCAUUGUGUGGAAAUCACAUUGUAAAUAGUUAUCCUUUUCUCUUUUUUUUGUAAAAUCUGCUUAGCAAAAUACACUAAACCAAUAUGCAGAUGGAAUAGAUAGUAACAAUUAAACAUAACAUUUUGGCAAAAAAGUUGAGUGUAGUGGGUAUUCAGAAUUCAAAGUGCUUUAUGGAAGAAUGUUCGAUGUAGGGAUGACAAGCACAAUUCAUAGGACAGCGUUGUACGGAAAGAUUGCAAGAGAAGGACAACACGCAGAAUUUUUGCUCAUUGGAAAAAUACCGAUUCGAUUAGUUUCCACGGCAGGAGAAAACAUGCUGUGUGCUACAGCUCAGGAUCACAGCCUUGAAGCAUCGUCAAGAAAGGGAGCCUCUGGUGAAUUCGGCAGUAGAUUCCAAACAGACACUUCACAGCCCACCUGAGGUUGAGAAUCUUUCCCAGAUGUGAGUUGCUGAGAGACCAGAAAGCCUCAGGUACCACUGCCGUUGAAUUAAAAAGAGGAGGAGGAAGGGAGGGAGGGAAGAAUUGCAACAAAAAUAGAGCAGAGGCUGAAAAAAAUAAAACAUCUGUGGGGAAAAGCA